CGAGAAGCCCCCGGACGCUCGGAGCUUAUAAUGCAGUCGAGGGGCAGCACAGCUAGCAAUAGUGGGUGGCGACCGGCAAACGGGUGCGGAACACGUACGCAACCUCCCCGGAACAGGUGAAUAGCCUUGCGAAAGUAAGAUUAAUACACCGUACCAUACGGAUGUGGCAUCACAACCGUAUUAUAGGUAGCAAUACCGGUUCCGGAUGGGCGUGCGCCUGAUUAGGUAGUUGGUGCGGGUAACGGCCCACCAAGCCUUCGAUCAGUAACUGGUGUGAGAGCACGACCAGUCACACGGGCACUGAGACACGGGCCCGACUCCUACGGGAGGCAGCAGUAAGGAAUAUUGGUCAAUGGACGCAAGUCUGAACCAGCCAUGCCGCGUGGAGGAUGACGGCCCUCUGGGUUGUAAACUCCUUUUAUCUGGGACGAAAAACGGACUUUCUAGUUCACUUGACGGUACCAGAGGAAUAAGCACCGGCUAACUCCGUGCCAGCAGCCGCGGUAAUACGGAGGGUGCAAGCGUUAUCCGGAUUUACUGGGUUUAAAGGGUGCGUAGGUGGGCUGAUAAGUCAGUGGUGAAAUCUUCAAGCUUAACUUGGAAACUGCCAUUGAUACUAUUAGUCUUGAAUAUCCCGGAGGUAAGCGGAAUAUGUCAUGUAGCGGUGAAAUGCUUAGAUAUGACAUAGAACACCCAUUGCGAAGGCAGCUUGCUACAGGAUUAUUGACACUGAGGCACGAAAGCGUGGGGAUCAAACAGGAUUAGAUACCCUGGUAGUCCACGCCCUAAACGAUGGAUACUCGACAUCAGCGAUACACAGUUGGUGUCUGAGCGAAAGCAUUAAGUAUCCCACCCUGGGAAGUACGAUCGCAAGAUUGAAACUCAAAGGAUUUGACGGGGGUCCGCACAAGCGGUGAAGCCAUGGUGGUUUAAUUCGAUGAUACGCGAGGAACCUUACCUGGGCUAGAAUGCUA
rnacentral:rRNA from 1 species